rnacentral:lncRNA from 1 species
GAUUGGUGGGCUUUAAGAAGGAAGAGCGUUCAUAAACAGUAUAUUGAAAUAAUUGAGGGCAUGUAUGUUGGGGCAUUAACAAGUGUUAUAGAAGUUAUUGCAAUACAACAAAUAUUUUUCUAGUCACAAUAGGCUUACAUCAAGGAUUAGCGCUAAAUCAAUAUCUUUUUGUAUUAAUUAUGAAUGAACACAGCUAAUAUUUAGAAAGAUGUAAUG